rnacentral:rRNA from 1 species
UACAGAGGUGGCAAGCGUUGUUCGGAAUUACUGGGCGUAAAGGGCGCGUAGGCGGCCUUCUAAGUCAGACGUGAAAUCCCCCGGCUUAACCUGGGAACUGCGUCUGAUACUGGAGGGCUUGAGUAUGGGAGAGGGAUGUAGAAUUCCAGGUGUAGCGGUGAAAUGCGUAGAUAUCUGGAGGAAUACCGGUGGCGAAGGCGGCAUCCUGGACCAUUACUGACGCUGAGGCGCGAAAGCGUGGGGGAGCGAACAGG